rnacentral:ncRNA from 1 species
UCCACCGUGAGGUGGAAUCUAAAGGAAGUCGAAUAGCAAAAUUCCGGUCUGAGGAACACGAAUCACAUAAAAGGCUGAUUAUAGUUGGAUGAGUUUGCCAUACAAAAUAAAGUCCAUGUCACCCGAAAGCUAUUACAUGUAGAUGUGACAGAUAUAUGGAAUGAAAGAUUGUGUU